UACAGAGGUGCCAAGCGUUAGACGGAAUCACUGGGCUUAAAGCGCGUGUAGGCGGGUCGUUAAGUGUCUUGUGAAAUCCCACGGCUCAACCGUGGAACUGCUGGGCAUACUGACGAUCUUGAGGCACUCAGGGGCCGUCGGAACAAAUGGUGGAGCGGUGAAAUGCGUAGAUAUCGGAAGGAACAUCAGUGGCGAAAGCGGCUUCCUGGACCAGCACCGACGUUCAGGCACGAAAGCGUGGGGAGCAAACAGG
rnacentral:rRNA from 1 species